rnacentral:rRNA from 1 species
UUAAGCGACUAAGCGUACACGGUGGAUGCCCUGGCAGUCAGAGGCGAUGAAGGACGUGCUAAUCUGCGAUAAGCGUCGGUAAGGUGAUAUGAACCGUUAUAACCGGCGAUUUCCGAAUGGGGAAACCCAGUGUGAUUCGUCACACUAUCAUUAACUGAAUCCAUAGGUUAAUGAGGCGAACCGGGGGAACUGAAACAUCUAAGUACCCCGAGGAAAAGAAAUCAACCGAGAUUCCCCCAGUAGCGGCGAGCGAACGGGGAGCAGCCCAGAGCCUGAAUCAGUGUGUGUGUUAGUGGAAGCGUCUGGAAAGGCGCGCGAUACAGGGUGACAGCCCCGUACACAAAAAUGCACAUGCUGUGAGCUCGAUGAGUAGGGCGGGACACGUGGUAUCCUGUCUGAAUAUGGGGGGACCAUCCUCCAAGGCUAAAUACUCCUGACUGACCGAUAGUGAACCAGUACCGUGAGGGAAAGGCGAAAAGAACCCCGGCGAGGGGAGUGAAAAAGAACCUGAAACCGUGUACGUACAAGCAGUGGGAGCACAGAGCAAUCUGUGUGACUGCGUACCUUUUGUAUAAUGGGUCAGCGACUUAUAUUCUGUAGCAAGGUUAACCGAAUAGGGGAGCCGAAGGGAAACCGAGUCUUAACUGGGCGUUAAGUUGCAGGGUAUAGACCCGAAACCCGGUGAUCUAGCCAUGGGCAGGUUGAAGGUUGGGUAACACUAACUGGAGGACCGAACCGACUAAUGUUGAAAAAUUAGCGGAUGACUUGUGGCUGGGGGUGAAAGGCCAAUCAAACCGGGAGAUAGCUGGUUCUCCCCGAAAGCUAUUUAGGUAGCGCCUCGUGAAUUCAUCUCCGGGGGUAGAGCACUGUUUCGGCAAGGGGGUCAUCCCGACUUACCAACCCGAUGCAAACUGCGAAUACCGGAGAAUGUUAUCACGGGAGACACACGGCGGGUGCUAACGUCCGUCGUGAAGAGGGAAACAACCCAGACCGCCAGCUAAGGUCCCAAAGUCAUGGUUAAGUGGGAAACGAUGUGGGAAGGCCCAGACAGCCAGGAUGUUGGCUUAGAAGCAGCCAUCAUUUAAAGAAAGCGUAAUAGCUCACUGGUCGAGUCGGCCUGCGCGGAAGAUGUAACGGGGCUAAACCAUGCACCGAAGCUGCGGCAGCGACGCUUAUGCGUUGUUGGGUAGGGGAGCGUUCUGUAAGCCUGCGAAGGUGUGCUGUGAGGCAUGCUGGAGGUAUCAGAAGUGCGAAUGCUGACAUAAGUAACGAUAAAGCGGGUGAAAAGCCCGCUCGCCGGAAGACCAAGGGUUCCUGUCCAACGUUAAUCGGGGCAGGGUGAGUCGACCCCUAAGGCGAGGCCGAAAGGCGUAGUCGAUGGGAAACAGGUUAAUAUUCCUGUACUUGGUGUUACUGCGAAGGGGGGACGGAGAAGGCUAUGUUGGCCGGGCGACGGUUGUCCCGGUUUAAGCGUGUAGGCUGGUUUUCCAGGCAAAUCCGGAAAAUCAAGGCUGAGGCGUGAUGACGAGGCACUACGGUGCUGAAGCAACAAAUGCCCUGCUUCCAGGAAAAGCCUCUAAGCAUCAGGUAACAUCAAAUCGUACCCCAAACCGACACAGGUGGUCAGGUAGAGAAUACCAAGGCGCUUGAGAGAACUCGGGUGAAGGAACUAGGCAAAAUGGUGCCGUAACUUCGGGAGAAGGCACGCUGAUAUGUAGGUGAAGUCCCUCGCGGAUGGAGCUGAAAUCAGUCGAAGAUACCAGCUGGCUGCAACUGUUUAUUAAAAACACAGCACUGUGCAAACACGAAAGUGGACGUAUACGGUGUGACGCCUGCCCGGUGCCGGAAGGUUAAUUGAUGGGGUCAGCGCAAGCGAAGCUCUUGAUCGAAGCCCCGGUAAACGGCGGCCGUAACUAUAACGGUCCUAAGGUAGCGAAAUUCCUUGUCGGGUAAGUUCCGACCUGCACGAAUGGCGUAAUGAUGGCCAGGCUGUCUCCACCCGAGACUCAGUGAAAUUGAACUCGCUGUGAAGAUGCAGUGUACCCGCGGCAAGACGGAAAGACCCCGUGAACCUUUACUAUAGCUUGACACUGAACAUUGAGCCUUGAUGUGUAGGAUAGGUGGGAGGCUUUGAAGUGUGGACGCCAGUCUGCAUGGAGCCGACCUUGAAAUACCACCCUUUAAUGUUUGAUGUUCUAACGUUGACCCGUAAUCCGGGUUGCGGACAGUGUCUGGUGGGUAGUUUGACUGGGGCGGUCUCCUCCUAAAGAGUAACGGAGGAGCACGAAGGUUGGCUAAUCCUGGUCGGACAUCAGGAGGUUAGUGCAAUGGCAUAAGCCAGCUUGACUGCGAGCGUGACGGCGCGAGCAGGUGCGAAAGCAGGUCAUAGUGAUCCGGUGGUUCUGAAUGGAAGGGCCAUCGCUCAACGGAUAAAAGGUACUCCGGGGAUAACAGGCUGAUACCGCCCAAGAGUUCAUAUCGACGGCGGUGUUUGGCACCUCGAUGUCGGCUCAUCACAUCCUGGGGCUGAAGUAGGUCCCAAGGGUAUGGCUGUUCGCCAUUUAAAGUGGUACGCGAGCUGGGUUUAGAACGUCGUGAGACAGUUCGGUCCCUAUCUGCCGUGGGCGCUGGAGAACUGAGGGGGGCUGCUCCUAGUACGAGAGGACCGGAGUGGACGCAUCACUGGUGUUCGGGUUGUCAUGCCAAUGGCACUGCCCGGUAGCUAAAUGCGGAAGAGAUAAGUGCUGAAAGCAUCUAAGCACGAAACUUGCCCCGAGAUGAGUUCUCCCUGACUCCUUGAGAGUCCUGAAGGAACGUUGAAGACGACGACGUUGAUAGGCCGGAUGUGUAAGCGCAGCGAUGCGUUGAGCUAACCGGUACUAAUGAACCGUGAGGCUUAACCU